GACGUAGGGCGCGAGCGUUGUCCGGAUUUAUUGGGCGUAAAGAGCUCGUAGGCGGCUUGUCGCGUCGUCCGUGAAAACCUGCAGCUCAACUGCAGGCUUGCGGUCGAUACGGGCAGGCUAGAGUUCGGUAGGGGAGACUGGAAUUCCUGGUGUAGCGGUGAAAUGCGCAGAUAUCGGGAAGAACACCCGUGGCGAAGGCGGCUCUCUGGGACGGUACUGACGCUGAUGCACGAAAGCUAGGGGAGCAAACAGG
rnacentral:rRNA from 1 species